rnacentral:snoRNA from 1 species
CAGGCUCUGACUGAAGACCCCCGGUUUGCUGUAGCCGUUGGUUUCAAGCAGGAGCCCACAGGAAGCGUCUCCCGGUCUGUUGGUGCUCCCAUCCCAUGGAACAGCCAAUUCGUGUGGGAGCGACACUG